GACGAACGCUGGCGGCGUGCUUAACACAUGCAAGUCGAACGGUAAGGCCCUUCGGGGUACACGAGUGGCGAACGGGUGAGUAACACGUGGGUGAUCUGCCCUGCACUUCGGGAUAAGCCUGGGAAACUGGGUCUAAUACCGGAUAGGACCACUGCCUGCAUGGGUGGUGGUGGAAAGCUUUUGCGGUGUGGGAUGGGCCCGCGGCCUAUCAGCCUGUUGGUGGGGUGAUGGCCUACCAAGGCGACGACGGGUAGCCGGCCUGAGAGGGUGACCGGCCACACUGGGACUGAGAUACUGCCCAGACUCCUACGGGAGGCAGCAGUGGGGAAUAUUGCGCAAUGGGCGCAAGCCUGAUGCAGCGACGCCGCGUGAGGGAUGACGGCCUUCGGGUUGUAAACCUCUUUCAGCACCGACGAAGCGCAAGUGACGGUAGGUGCAGAAGAAGGACCGGCCAACUACGUGCCAGCCGCCGCGGUAA
rnacentral:rRNA from 1 species